GUAGGUGGCAAACGUUAUCCGGAAUUAAUUGGCGUAAAGGGUCGUAGGCGCCAUUUAAGUCUAAGGUGAAAGUUCCGAGGCUCAACUUCGAAUUGCCUUAGAAACUGGAUGGCUAGAGUGCAGGAGAGGCCAAUGGAAUUCCAUGUGUAGCGGUAAAAUGCGUAGAUAUAUGGAGGAACACCAGUGGCGAAGGCGGUUGCCUGGCCUGUAACUGACGCUGAAGCACGAAAGCGUGGGGAGCAAAUAGGAUUAGAUACCCUAGUAGUCCACGCUGUAAACGAUGAUUACUAAGUGUUGGGGAAACUCAGUGCUGCAGUUAACGCAAUAAGUAAUCCGCC
rnacentral:rRNA from 1 species